rnacentral:rRNA from 1 species
UGCAGUCGAACGGAGGCUGGAGGGAGCUUGCUCCCGCUAGCCUUAGUGGCGGACGGGUGAGUAACGCGUGGGUAACCUGCCCUGGAGAGGGGGAUAACACCGCGAAAGUGGUGCUAAUACCGCAUGAAGCUAUAUGGCCGCAUGGCAGAAUAGCCAAAGGAGCAAUCCGCUCUGGGAUGGACCCGCGUCUGAUUAGCUGGUUGGUGGGGUAACGGCCUACCAAGGCGACGAUCAGUAGCCGGCCUGAGAGGGUGACCGGCCACACUGGGACUGAGACACGGCCCAGACUCCUACGGGAGGCAGCAGUGGGGAAUCUUCCGCAAUGGGCGAAAGCCUGACGGAGCAACGCCGCGUGAAUGACGAAGGCUUUCGGGUUGUAAAGUUCUGUCUUCAGGGAAGAAGCAAGUGACGGUACCUGAGGAGGAAGCCCCGGCUAACUACGUGCCAGCAGCCGCGGUAAUACGUAGGGUGCGAGCGUUAAUCGGAAUUACUGGGCGUAAAGCGUGCGCAGGCGGUUUUAUAAGACAGAUGUGAAAUCCCCGGGCUUAACCUGGGAACUGCGUUUGUGACUGUAAGACUCGAGUGUGGCAGAGGGGGGUGGAAUUCCACGUGUAGCAGUGAAAUGCGUAGAGAUGUGGAGGAACACCGAUGGCGAAGGCAGCCCCCUGGGCCAACACUGACGCUCAUGCACGAAAGCGUGGGUAGCAAACAGGAUUAGAUACCCUGGUAGUCCACGCCCUAAACGAUGUCAACUAGGUGUUGGGGAAGGAGACUUCUUUAGUACCGCAGCUAACGCGUGAAGUUGACCGCCUGGGGAGUACGGUCGCAAGAUUAAAACUCAAAGGAAUUGACGGGGACCCGCACAAGCGGUGGAUUAUGUGGAUUAAUUCGAUGCAACGCGAAAAACCUUACCUACCCUUGACAUGUCAGGAAGAUUCCAGAGAUGGGAUUGUGCCCGAAAGGGAACCUGAACACAGGUGCUGCAUGGCUGUCGUCAGCUCGUGUCGUGAGAUGUUGGGUUAAGUCCCGCAACGAGCGCAACCCUUGUCAUUAAUUGCCAUCAUUUAGUUGGGCACUUUAAUGAGACUGCCGGUGAUAAACCGGAGGAAGGUGGGGAUGACGUCAAGUCCUCAUGGCCCUUAUGGGUAGGGCUUCACACGUAAUACAAUGGUCGGUACAGAGGGUUGCCAACCCGCGAGGGGGAGCUAAUCUCAGAAAGCCGAUCGUAGUCCGGAUCGGAGUCCGCAACUCGACUCCGUGAAGUCGGAAUCGCUAGUAAUCGCGGAUCAGCAUGUCGCGGUGAAUACGUUCCCGGGUCUUGUACACACCGCCCGUCACACCAUGGGAGUGGAAUCUGCCAGAAGUAGGUAGCCUAACCGCAAGGAGGGCGCUACCACGUGGGUCAGGCC